rnacentral:rRNA from 1 species
GAUGAAUGCUGGCGGCGUGCCUAACACAUGCAAGUCGAGCGGUAACAGGAGUAGUUUACUACUUGCUGACGAGCGGCGGACGGCUGAGUAACGCGUGGGAACGUGCCCCAAAGUGAGGGAUAACUGCCCGAAAGGGUGGCUAAUACCGCAUAUGGUCUUCGGAUUAAAGGAUUUAUCCGCUUUGGGAGCGGCCCGCGUUAGAUUAGGUAGUUGGUAGGGUAAUGGCCUACCAAGCCUACGAUCUAUAGCUGGUCUGAGAGGAUGACCAGCCAGACUGGAACUGAGACACGGUCCAGACUCCUACGGGAGGCAGCAGUGAGGAAUCUUCCACAAUGGGCGAAAGCCUGAUGGAGCAACGCCGCGUGAAGGAUGAAGGCCCUCGGGUUGUAAACUUCUUUUAUAAGUGAAGAAUAUGACGGUAACUUAUGAAUAAGCACCGGCUAACUACGUGCCAGCCGCCGCAGUAA